UACAGAGACUGCAAGCGUUAUUCGGAUUCACUGGGCGUAAAGGGUGCGCAGGCGGCCAUGUGUGUUAGAUGUGAAAUCCCGGGGCUCAACCCCGGAACUGCGUCUAAAACUACACGGCUAGAGUAUUGGAGAGGGUAGCGGAAUUCACGGUGUAGCAGUGAAAUGCGUAGAUAUCGUGAGGAACACCAGAGGCGAAGGCGGCUACCUGGACAAUUACUGACGCUCAGGCACGAAAGCGUGGGGAG
rnacentral:rRNA from 1 species